AAUACCAAAGAUACAUUUUGCAUAAAUAAAUUGCUCCAGAAAUGUUAUAAAACAAGAAAUAAAAUAAUUAUCUAUCUAUUGAUUAAAAGCCCUUGUCUUGUUACUUCAUUGUAGCUUGCUGCAUUCUCAAGAAGCCCCUUCCCUUGCUGUCUCUGUCUGUCUGUCUGUCUGUCUGUCUGUCUGUCUGUCUGUCUGUCUGUCUGUCUGUCUGACCGCCCGCCCGCCCGUCCGUCCGUCUAUUAACACAACAAGUUUCUCUAAAAUGUCUUUGAAAAUGUAUCUCUGACACAGUGUAGUUCAGGUUAACACAGCACUGAUCCACAAUGUUACCCCACAUUGAACAUCAUUAGACUCCGACACUAAAACCUACAGGUCAACAUGAUCACAGGAAGAACAGUGCAAAGGGUGUUUUGGUUGGAAUGGAGGAAAAUCUUUCAGAAUUACCAAGGUUCCAAAAUGAAAUACCAAGGUUCCAAAAUGAAAUACCAAGGUUCCAAAAUGAAAUACCAAGGUUCCAAAAUGAAAUACCAAGGUUCCAAAAUGAAUUACCAAGGUUCCAAAAUGAAAUACCAAGGUUCCAAAAUGAAAUACCAAGGUUCCAAAAUGAAAUACCAAGGUUCCAAAAUGAAUUACCAAGGUUCCAAAAUGAAAUACCAAGGUUCCAAAAUGAAAUACCAAGGUUCCAAAAUGAAAUACCAAGGUUCCAAAAUGAAUUACCAAGGUUCCAAAAUGAAAUACCAAGGUUCCAAAAUGAAAUACCAAGGUUCCAAAAUGAAUUACCAAGGUUCCAAAAUGAAUUACCAAGGUUCCAA